rfam:Schistosoma mansoni, Puerto Rico, WGS project CABG01000000 data, contig: 0223
AUUCAGCUGACGAGUCCCGAACUGGACGAAACACGCGUUCUGUAC